rnacentral:guide_RNA from 1 species
AAAUUAACGACAAACAAAGAGAAAUACUUGAGAGAUAUGAUAAAAU